rnacentral:rRNA from 1 species
AUUGAACGCUGGCGGCAGGCCUAACACAUGCAAGUCGAGCGGUAGAGAGGUGCUUGCACCUCUUGAGAGCGGCGGACGGGUGAGUAAUGCCUAGGAAUCUGCCUGGUAGUGGGGGAUAACGCUCGGAAACGGACGCUAAUACCGCAUACGUCCUACGGGAGCAAGCAGGGGACCUUCGGGCCUUGCGCUAUCAGAUGAGC